rnacentral:rRNA from 1 species
UACGUAGGGUGCGAGCGUUGUCCGGAAUUAUUGGGCGUAAAGAGCUCGUAGGCGGUCUGUCGCGUCUGCUGUGAAAUCCCGAGGCUCAACCUCGGGCUUGCAGUGGGUACGGGCAGGCUAGAGUGCGGUAGGGGAGAUUGGAAUUCCCGGUGUAGUGGUGAAAUGCGUAGAUAUCGGGGAGGAACACCAGUGGCGAAGGCGGCUUCCUGGCCUGCUCUUGACGCUGAGGCGCGAAAGCUAGGGUAGCAAACGGG